rnacentral:rRNA from 1 species
CGGCGUGCUUAACACAUGCAAGUCGAACGCGAAAGGGACUUCGGUCCUGAGUAAAGUGGCGCACGGGUGAGUAACGCGUAGAUAACCUGUCUUCAUGUCUGGAAUAAUACGCCGAAAGGGGUACUAAUACCGGAUAUUCUUGCUUUUCAUAAGUUAUGCAAGCAAAGGUGGCCUCUGCAUAUGCUACUGCAUGAAGAGGGGUCUGCGUACCAUUAGCUAGUAGGUGGGGUAAUGGCCUACCUAGGCGACGAUGGUUAGCGGGUCUGAGAGGAUGAUCCGCCACACUGGCACUGGAACACGGGCCAGACUCCUACGGGAGGCAGCAGUGAGGAAUAUUGCGCAAUGGGGGAAACCCUGACGCAGCGACGCCGCGUGAGUGAAGGAGGGCCUUCGGGUCGUAAAGCUCUGUCAAGAGGAAAGAAGUGUACAAUGGCUAAUACCUGUCGUAUUUGACGGUACCUCUAAAGGAAGCACCGGCUAACUCCGUGCCAGCCGCUGC